rnacentral:lncRNA from 1 species
GGUCUUGAAUUCCUGGCCUCAAGGGAUCCUCCUGCUUUGUCCUCCCAAAGUAUGGGAUUACAGGUGUGAGUCACAGUACCCAGCCUUUUUCUAACAAUUUCUUUCAGGGUGAUAUGUUAACAGGAUAUAGGAAAAAGGCUUCACUGUGCAAGACCUCUAAAUACCAAAACAGAGUCGAAACUGUGAAAUCUAUUUCAAUGCAUGAGAGCUCCUGUCGCUCCACAUCCUCAGCAGCACGUGGUGUUCGGUGUUCUGGAUUUUAGACAUUCUAAUAGGACUCAUUAGUUCUAACAGAUUUGUUUGUCAAUUCCUCAAGAUUUUCUACAUCUAAAAUCAUGUCAUCUGCAAAAAGAGCCCAGCUUCCCUGCUGAGGGAAGUGAGGAUAGCGUGCAAGAAGCCCCUGUCCCUGGAGAAAAGGAGAGCGGCUGGUCAAGGACACAGAUGAGGCCAUGCUUUCUGGUGCGAAGAUCCAAAGAAUAUCACGCCGUGAUUCUUCUGCUUCUCUGCAUGAAUCCCAAUCAACCAACCAAUCUCUCUCCUCCUCUCACUCACAGUAUCUUCCUACCAUUACACAGCUGGACCUGGGAUAGUCGGCUGGCCGCAAAGGCCUGGGUCAGCUCAUGAGGCACCCACUCAUGGAGCUUUUUCAUCCUUCCAAUUUGCUUCAAAUGCCAAACGACUGUAGAAUGGUUGACGCUGAGUUCUUCAGCAACUUCUCAUGUAGCUUUAAAAGGAUCAGCUUCGAUGACUGCUCUCAAUUGGUUGUUAUCAACUUCUGAAGGCCGGCCACUAAGCUCCUCAUCCUCAAGGUUCUCAUCUCCUUUGCAAAACUUCUUGAACCAUCACUGCACGAAACUCAGCUUUGGCAAUUCAAACGGAGUGGCACAUCAGGAUGGGUGUGUGUAUCUUUGAAUGACCUCAUGAGGCUGACUUGCCUCCUAGCAGCAUGGACCAGACAGUUACAUGAGAGGCCAAUAUGGUGAGAUAAUGGCUCAUGGCAGACAACAAACAUCUAUGCCUCGACUAACUGUUCCCGAAACUACUGUCCAUUAAUUAAUCCUAAAGCCAAAAGAGGGUAAUAAUCAGAAAAGUAUUUUAUACCUAAGAGCUCAAAAGAUCAGCUAGAUGGGAAGAAUCACUGAAGCACUAAACAGUAUCAUACAGAUUUGAAAGUUA